GUCCCAGUAGCAUAGUGGUUAAUGCACAGCCCCGGUUAUGCGCGAGGCGCGGGUUCGAUUCUCGCCUGAAAUG
rnacentral:tRNA from 1 species